GUGAGAAAGGCCUCUGAGAACUGGAACUCACGUUGGGCCUCAACUACAGAGGGAAGAAGAGGAGGGACACCAGAAGUAGCAUGAACAGUAUGUAUAAAGGUCUAAGAACAGGAAGUAAGCCUGUUCUGCCCAAAAUAGAGAGCCAGGAAAUGGUAUGGGCACACGGUGCUCCCAGGGGGCUGUAACUGACUGUGUAGCCUGCCUUUCCUCCUGUGGGAAGCUCUCUUGAGAGCACUUCAGGAUGCAAGACAUCGGGCAACCAAGCAGCUGUGCUUCACAGUUGGACCACACCAAGCUUCUGCCUAUGCAGCCAAUAAACAAACUAAGGCCCUGAGACAGAAAUGGCAUGGAGUACUACACAGUAAUUGAUGUUAUAAUCAGGAAAAGCAUUACAGGGAGGGGACAGCAAAUUUCCCGUGAAAAGGAGAUGGCUGGGUUGCUGACACAGGCUACAUCAUUGCAGAACCCUGAGAGCAGGGAAGAUGCAGACAGAAUCUGAAUCAUCCAACAUGAUGGUUAUAUUUCCUACCUCUCCCUCUCCCAUCCCUCUUCUUGAGGAAUUCAGGAGUCACACACAGAACUUCUCAUUUGGUGUCUCACAAUCAAGCCAGGGUCUCAGGUCAGAAGGAAUCAUAGUGGCUCCAGUGACACCCUGCUCAGCAGCUCUGGGCCCUCAGGCACCUUCCCAUCCCCAAGAUGCUUGGUGUCUGUAAGAAGCUUUCAGACCACAGUUAAAGGAACGGAGUAUGGAGCCUGUCCUUCAGAAAAUCAACUCGUGGAAGUAACCAAAGUUCCUGUGGGUAUUGGCUGCAAAAGUGGGUCACUAUGCAGUGGGUGGCUAAAAAAAGGAAAGAUCCAUUUCAGGAACCUAGAGUCGGUUGUUGCUUUGGAACUGAAUAUCUCCUGGGGAAGACCUGGAAAACUCACGCAGGCUGAUGGGGCCAUAGGACUCCAUACAUGAACUAAUCAGCCAAAAACAAACAAACAAAAAACAAACCUGGCAGAAAUCAAGAAAGCCUGAAAGACCCCUCUACCUACCCUACUACCAUGGCCUCCACUGAGUUUUUGCCUGGAGCCAUGCCUGAGAGCCAAGGCUGGAAGUGUUUGAGAUGGGCAUGAUGGAACUGUAUGGACUUCUGUUUUCUGGGUUGCUUCCUUCCAAACUGCUCCAUUUCCCAUGAAGUGGGACACACCAUGGAGAGCUAACACUAAGUUCCAAGAAAGACAAUAUGUGACUCAUAGGAGGAAGGAUGUACUCUUGGGCCCUUCUCUCUAAGAGGUAUUUAGAGAUAGAACCCAGCAAGUAAGACCCAUGUUAUCCUCUCAAUAGAACUAAUCAUCAGCCUUAUAAAGUCUUGUUAUCUGCCAUGGCUUGAUUAUGAGACCCACAUUUUGGAUGCUUGGUCCCAACCUGGUGGUACUAUUUUGGAAGGUUCUCAAGAUUUUGAGAGGGGGAAGAAGUGGGCCACUUCCUAGGGAGGUGGGUCUUAGUGGUCUAUCAUCCCUAGCCUGUCUUGCACUCUGAAUAGCCAUUCUCCACCAUGCUUUCAUGCCUUCUUUUCAACUGCAUGGGGUCCAAGCAACCAUAGAAUUAGCAUUCUGAAUCUGUGAGCCAGAGCAUAUUUUUUCCUCCCUUAAAUUAUUUUUUGGCUGUCAUGACACAAAACCAACCACCGUGGUUUGAUGGAAAAUAUCCUCCAUAGGUUCAUGAAUUUGAACAAUUGGUUGCCAGUUGGUGGCGCUGUUUGGAGAGGCUGUAAAGCCUUUAGGAGAUGGAGCCUUGAAGGAGGAAGUCAGUCACUGAAGCAGGCUCCGGGAGUUCCUAUCCUUGGCCCACUUCAGUUCCGUUUCUUCUUUCUGUUAGCUGUUCUUCAAUGUGUGAUAGAUAUCCAAGAUGUGCAAGCUAAGCUUCAUGUUCCAGCCACCAACUGCCAUGCCUCUGCUGCCAUUACAGACUCCUACCCCUGGAACUGUAGCCAAAAUAAACACCUCCAUAAUUUGCUCCUGGCCACAGUAUUUUAUUACAGCAACAGAAAAGCAAUUAAGACAGUAAAUAAAAAUAAAAAAGUAUAAAUAAAAAAAAACUGGAUCUAAAAGUGGAGUUAUUAUAACCACACCUAACAUUGCAGUUUUUAAGCCUUUGGAAUUAGUUUUCCAAAAACUCUU
rnacentral:lncRNA from 1 species